rnacentral:rRNA from 1 species
UACAGAGGUCUCAAGCGUUGUUCGGAUUCAUUGGGCGUAAAGGGUGCGUAGGCGGCGCGGUAAGUCGGGUGUGAAAUCUUGGAGCUUAACUCCGAAACUGCAUUCGAUACUGCCGUGCUUGAGGACUGGAGAGGAGACUGGAAUUUACGGUGUAGCGGUGAAAUGCGUAGAUAUCGUAAGGAAGACCAGUGGCGAAGGCGGGUCUCUGGGCCGAUACUGACGCUGAGACACGAAAGCGUGGGUAGCAAACAGG